rnacentral:rRNA from 1 species
GAUCCUGGCUCAGGAUGAACGCUGGCGGCGUGCCUAACACAUGCAAGUCGAACGAGGUAAAUAAGAUGAAGUUUUCGGAUGGAUUCUUAUUUACCGAGUGGCGGACGGGUGAGUAACGCGUGGGUAACCUGCCUCAUACAGGGGGAUAACGGUUAGAAAUGACUGCUAAUACCGCAUAAGCGCAUAGUACCGCAUGGUACGGUGUGAAAAACUCCGGUGGUAUGAGAUGGACCCGCGUCUGAUUAG